GCCAUGUCCACCAGCUGUGGGAGUUUUAAGAACUUCCCUUCUCCUUCCUUCAGGAAGUCUAGUAAGCUGCCUUUUGUCAUGAAUUCGGUGACUAUGUAGAUUGGUUCCUCAGAAACAACGGCAUACAGUGGAACAAGCUUGUCAUGUCGUAAUUUCUUCAUGAUCUGAGCCUCCUGAAGGAAAGCUUCGGGCAUCAUUGUACCAGGUUUAAGUGUCUUGAUGGCUACUUUUGUGGUUCCAUUCCAGGUUCCCAUCCAUACUUCACCAAAACAUCCUUGGCCCAACUUAACUUCCAGCCUCAAAGACUCCCUAGGAAUUUCCCAGGCAUCUUUUGCUAGUCCCUGUGUUUGUGGUUUCACCGUGGGACAUACAGUUGUUAGCUUAUGACACAGUCCAUCAGCAUGUUCUCUGUAGUGCUUCACCAACUUCUGGAGAGAUUCAAAUUGUGCUCUGGUUGUGAUAUAGUAUCCACCAUUGUCAAGUUUUCUGAUUUUGUAGUGCUUCACAUUAUCACCUCUGACCUCAUCCCAGUCACGUAUGGAAAGGGAGUAAGCACCUUUAGUGGUUUCGCUCUCUCUUACUAAGAAAAUACCACGCUGGUUCCCAGGAUUUAAAAGUAGUCUUUCUGCAUCCUUCCUGCCCAUUUUACCAAAGUACCACUCUUCCGCUUGAAUGGAGUCUGCAGGAGCUACAUAAUUGCUUGGGAUGUAGCCUGUUUUUCCCGUAGCAAUGGAUCUUGCUUCCCACCAGUCGCCUUCCGUGUUGUUUAUUAUCUGGAACCGUUCACCUUUCUUAAAUGAAAGGUCAUCUGUAGUUCUAGCUUCAUAAUCGUAUAAGGCCACAAAUAC
rnacentral:lncRNA from 1 species